UCAAUCGUUGUUGGUUGCGCUGUGCACGGUGUGUUGUAUUCACUUAAAAUUGAACACUUGGUGUGUUGAAUUCACUUUAAUUAAAAUGUGAACACUUGGGACAUUCUAGUCACCUGAUAACAGUGAGAAAUAACCCAUAUUAAACCAAUACAGGGCUCCGCCGAUUAUCAGCGUUAGCAUGGCCUCACCGUCUGUUUCACCCGGUGUCUUUGUUCAGCGUGUGAAAUGUUUAGUUACUCCUCUGCCUCCUUUAGUGAAGGGAAUAGGUGCAGAAAGUGGAGUUUAUUUAAGGCUAUGGAGGCGAGACUUAAUGAGAUUGAGACGCGGUUCCGCAGCUCGGAGUUGCGUCAGGUAGCCAGGAGAAGCUAGCUGCUGCGGAGCCGCCUAGCGUAGCUACAGCUAGCGGUCCCCCGGCAGCAGCCAGGGCGGCUGGGUGACGGUGCGCAGGACUCCAGCGACCAUAGCACAUGCCUGAGGAGCUCAACACUCUUGUACCACACUGGUGACCAGCAGACGCAUCGAUGGCACAGCGAGGAACCCAGCAGCUGAAGGCAGAGCUCAAACCACUGGAAUCAUCAAUGGAGACUUGGAGGGAAGAGGUCCAGCACCUUAGAGAAGCCCUGGCAGAGAAGGAGGAGCAGCUCAGCAGGGCAGUGAAGAGGCGACACAUGAGGACUGUGGCCGAUGUGGAGACCCUGACCCAGCUGAACACCUCACAAGCUGCUCUGAAGGAGAGCAACCUCAAAUGUGCUUCUCUGGAGGAAACCCUCCACAGUCAGCAGCAGGAGCUAGAGGAGCGACAUAAGAGAGAGCUGAUGGAGCAGGAGGAAGGCCUGAAUCAGAAGCUCCUUGUGAUUGAGGAGGAAUUUGUGAGGAAGCUGGAGGAAGAGAAGCACAGAUCUAAUGAAGAGGAAGAGGCCUUGAGGCAGCAGCUCUUUCUAAAAGACGACAAGUUCAAGAAACUGCUGGAAGAAGAGCAAAAUAAAUAUAACGAGAUGAUCGUUGAUAAAGAGGAGUCGAUGAAGCAGCAGCUGUUGACUCAAGAGGAGACGUAUAACAAGAUGCUGGAUGAUGUUUGUCAGCGGUGGGAGACGACAUCUCAAAAAUGGGUCCAGAUGAGAGAAUUGCUGGAGCAGAAGGUCCUGGAGAGCCAACGGUUGAGGCAAGAGGAGCAGGAUAAGACCAAAGAGGAGCUCCAGAGGCUCUCUGAAGCAAUCCUCCAACUUGAGCUUCAAGUAUUAAAGAAAAAGAAGAAGAAAAGCUUCUGGAGAUGGAUCUGCAAAAGGAUGAGGUUCUGGAAAAGUUAGUGAAGAACAAUUCCAGAGCUCCCAAAGCCCUCCUCCUCCCCCUCCCCCUCCUCCUCCUCCUCCUCCCCCUCCUCCUCCUCUUCCUCCCCCUCCUCCCCCUCCUCCUCCCCUCCUCCUCCUCCUCUACAUCCUGACUUCCACAGCAUCACAUUCAAGAUUGAAGAUUUACUUUAUUCAUCCUCGUAGGGAAAUUGAAUUGUAGAAGCAGCCGUGGAUUAAUGGAUUAAUAUAACUGUAGUGCAGGUUUUGUAUUUACAAAGUAUAGAAAUAGAAUAAAUAAAUACAAAUAAGAUCAGAACGUUCUAAGCAUAUAUACAGCAUAUAAGAAUAUACUGUAUAUAAUAUAUACAUAAUAUAAUAUAUACAUAUUUUAAGCAUUAUAAGCAUAUAUACAUAAAUAUAGAAUAAAAUAUAAAUAAAAUGACAACAUAAAUAUUACAAUUAUUGUUAUUGGCUGGGUUUGGAUGAAUUAUAGAGUUUAAUGGCGGAUGGCAGGAAUGACUUCCUGUACCGUUCCUUAGAGCAUCCUGUCUUCAUCAGUUUUAUUUUACAGUAUAAUCAUUGUUUAUGUUCUCUGUUUGGAUCUGUGAUGUCGAAACAAUAAAACUUAAAGUAAAC
ensembl:lncRNA